CUCACGUGUCACGGGUGUCUGGGGGUAUUCGGUCCGGAACUGCUCUGCCCUGCCGCCCGGCCCCGUUGCAGGUGUUCAAGGACAAGUCCCGGGCACUUGUAAUUGGAGACUCGUAAUACGGGCUGUAGUUGGAGUCUAGGUAGUAUUCUUAUGUUGGCAGAAGGUGUCUGGAGCUGUGAAGUUACCCUGCAGCACUUCGACCUUUUUUCUAACUUUCUUUCAGAUGCGGAUGGAUCGAUCUCCCGGCAGAGCGCCUCGUCCCAGAUGAGGGGAUCCCCCUGAGAAGGAAGUAAAGCCGGAUAGCAGCAGUGAAGGUGAAGCAUUGUGAAGGUGGUCUACUUGCAAGAUAUCCCAGCCCAGGAUGCCAGAGGACAGGUUCCGUGCAGAGAGGCAGAGCCGAAGUUUGCGAUCGGCCGCACCGAAGCCAGCGCGGGGGACGUCUCGAUGUACACAUCCUAUCGAGGAUGGGUCUUGUCCUAUUACGUUACAAAAGGUCUCUGAUGCCUAUUUUCUGAGGAUCUACCAUUUGAUGUUGAGAAGCAGCAGCGAGAAGAUGUCUCGGGGCAUUUUGUUCAGCACAGUGUUUCAAAUAAGGGUUGCGGUCACUGUGUGAGUUAGAGUCUCCUGCUGUGUGUCAGAGCGUGUCUGUCUGUGAGAGUCGGUGGGUCUGGGUGUGCUUGUGUGUGUGUGUGUUGUGCGGUUCUAACCUUGUGUGUAUUGCUUUUGCUUUUCAGGACUUUAAAUUCACUUUUAAAUUUAGAAUAAAAAAUCCCCAGCUGGGGGGGUUUUUUUUUUUCCCUCCCAGCUGGGGUUUUUUUUCCUCGGUCCCGGCCGGUCUGCGAGGCGACAGUCAUCGCCUAAGUUUGGGCACGGACCGGCCCUGGACCGGGGUUUUCGUCAGGCAGGCUGAUUUUGGAGGCCCCUGGGAACCGAGUUCCCGUGGGGUAGGAGGGGUAUGUGUGUGUGUGUGUGUGUGUGUGUGUGUGUUGUGCGGUUCUAACCUUGUGUGAAUUGCUUUUGCUUUUCAGGACUUUAAAUUCACUUUUAAAUUUAGAAUAAAAAAUCCCCAGCUGGGGGGGUUUUUUUUUUUUCCCUCCCAGCUGGGGUUUUUUUUCCUCGGUCCCGGCCGGUCUGCGAGGCGACAGUCAUCGCCUAAGUUUGGGCACGGACCGGCCCCGGACCGGGGUUUUCGUCAGGCAGGGUGAUUUUGAGGCCCCCGGGAACCAAGUUCCUGUGGGGUAGGAGGGGUGUGUGUUGUGCGGUUCUAACCUUGUGUGAAUUGCUUUUGCUUUUCAGGACUUUAAAUUCACUUUUAAAUUUAGAAUAAAAAAUCCCCAGCUGGGGGGGUUUUUUUUUUUUCCCUCCCAGCUGGGGUUUUUUUUCCUCGGUCCCGGCCGGUCUGCGAGGCGACAGUCAUCGCCUAAGUUUGGGCACGGACCGGCCCCGGACCGGGGUUUUCGUCAGGCAGGGUGAUUUUGAGGCCCCCGGGAACCAAGUUCCCGUGGGGUAGGAGGGGUGUGUGUUGUGGGGUUCUAACCUUGUGUGUAUUGCU